GACGAACGCUGGCGGCGUGCUUAACACAUGCAAGUGGAGCGACGAACUUGGCUUCGGCCAAGGGCAAAGCCGCGAACGGGUGAGUAACACGUGGGUUACCUGCCCCGAUGACCGGGACAACCCGUCGAAAGACGGGCUAAUACCGGAUGUGACCGCAAGGUGAAAGGAAGCUUCGGCCUCCGCAUCGGGAUGGGCCCGCGGCGCAUUAGCUUGUUGGUGGGGUAACGGCCUACCAAGGCGACGAUGCGUAGCUGGUCUGAGAGGACGAUCAGCCACACUGGCACUGAGACACGGGCCAGACUCCUACGGGAGGCAGCAGUGAGGGAUAUUGCGCAAUGGGGGAAACCCUGACGCAGCAACGCCGCGUGGGCGAAGAAGGUCUUCGGAUCGUAAAGCCCUUUUCUCCCGGACGAGGAAGGACGGUACGGGAGGAAUAAGUGUCGGCUAACUACGUG
rnacentral:rRNA from 1 species